CAACAAAGUAAUAUAAUUGCUGCAUGAAAAGAAGAGAAAUGCAUAGAAGAAAAAGCACAAACUAAUUCAAAUAUCAUAAUGCGGGAAUGAAAAACAUACUCUCACAAUUGGUGGCAGCAGUGGCAAGGAAGGAACUGCAACAUGGCGGACGUGCGUUUGAGCUUUGAAGCGCGAAAGCAGAUAAUUAAGUGGUGCUGGAAGUUUGAAAAUGUAGCUGUGGUUCGAAGACAGUGAAGAAGUGAGUAUGGUACAGAACCACCUUCAAGGUUAACAAUUACACGUCUACAAGACAAAUUCAAAAUUCAUGGAACAGUGUGUGAUGUGCAUAAAGGUCGAUCAGGGCGACCUCGUACAGCUACAAGUGAUGAUUUGACAACUGCGGUCUUGGAACUGUUUCAGCAUUUGCCUCAAAAAUCAUCAAGGCAAGUGGCAUGUGAGAGUAAUGUAAGUGCUAGUAGUGUGCGCAUUCUGAAGAAAGGCAAGUUUCGUGUGUACAUUCCAAGGCUGGUGCAAUAGCUAAGUGACGACGAUCCAGAUCGAAGGUUAGAAUUUUGUGAAUGGGUUCAGGAGAUGGUGAGGCGUGAACCUGGAUUUAUGGGUAGCAUAUUUUGGUCGGAUGAAGCCCAAUUCAAACUAAAUGGAACUGUCAAUAGGUACAAUUGUGUGUACUGGGCUGAAGAUGAUCCUCACAUUACAGUUGAAAAGACUGUGAAUUUGCCUGGUGUAAAUGUGUGAGGUGGUUUGUCUGCAAGGGGACUCAUUGGGCCUUUCCACUUUGAAGGUACUGUUACUGGAGAAAUGUACCUAACAAUGCUUGCUGACUCCAUAUUCCCUGCCAUUCGUGCAUUAUACGGUAAUGAUGAGUUUUAUUUCCAACAAGAUGGCGUCCCGCCACACUAUCAUAGGGACGUACGAGCAUACCUGGAUCACAAUGUGCCAGGCCAGUGGAUAGGACGCAGGGGACCAAUCGAGUUUCCUGCACGCUCUCCAGACCUCAUGCCGCUGGAUUUCUUCUUACGGGGCACAGUAAAAGAUGAGGUGUACAAACGUAAAUCACGUAACCUGGACACACUUGGAAUGAGAUUCAGGCGGUGUGCACAGAAAUCUCAUUGGACACUUUGGUACGAUGUUCGGAAUCAGUGGUGACUCGUACUCAGAAAUGUAUUGAUGCUGAAGGCCACCAGUUUGAACGUUAAUCACAUUUGCAAAGUACAUUUAUUUUUCCAAUUGGACUUUAAGCUUUCCAUUUCCAGAAAUUUAACAUUGUAGAAUGGGAAAUAAAUUUUCUAUGACGCUUCAAA